rnacentral:rRNA from 1 species
UUUGUUACUUCAAACCAAUCGGACUUCGGUCUGACAUCAAGUGAUAUUGAACAAUUUAGCUGAUCGCACGGUCUAAGAACCGGCGACAUAUCCUUCAAAUGUCUGCCUUAUCAACUUUCGAUGGUAGAUUAUGCGCCUACCAUGGUUGUAACGGGUAACGGAGAAUCAGGGUUUGAUUCCGGAGAGGGAGCCUGAGAAACGGCUACCACAUCCAAGGAAGGCAGCAGGCACGCAAAUUACCCACUCCCGGCACGGGGAGGUAGUGACGAAAAAUAACAAGCUGGUCUCAAUGAGUUCCAGCAUUGUAAUGGGAACAAUUUAAAUCUUUUAUCGAGGAUCUAUUGGAGGGCAAGUCUGGUGCCAGCAGCCGCGGUAAUUCCAGCUCCGAUAGCGUAUAUUAAAGUUGUUGCGGUUAAAAAGCUCGUAGUUGGAUCUAGGAUUAGGGCUACGGUCGUUCAGCUUGGACGUACUGUAUGCCCGACUCCUUUUCUCUAGUAUUCGAUUGUUGCUCUUAAAUGAGUGACUUUAGUUGCUGGAACUUUUACCUUGAAAAAAUUGAAGUGCUCAAAGCAGGUU